rnacentral:rRNA from 1 species
GAUGAACGCUGGCGGUGUGCCUAAUACAUGCAAGUCGAGCGAACACACGAUGAGCUUGCUCCCUUACCGUUAGCGGCUGACGGGUGAGUAAGACGUGGAUAACCUACCUAUUAGACUGGGAUAAUUUCGGGAAAACGGUUCCAAUACUGCCUCAUACAUCCUACCGCUUGAUUCAAUAGUGAAUCACGGUUUUGCUGUUUCUAUUAGCCGGUGCCGCGCCGCAUUAGCUAGUUGGUAAGGUAACGGCUUACCAAGGCUACGAUGCGUAGCCGACCUGAGAGGGUGAUCGGCCACACUGGAACUGAGACACGGUCCAGACUCCUACGGGAGGCAGCAGUAGGGAAUCUUCCGCAAUGGGCGAAAGCCUGACGGAGCAACGCCGCGUGAGUGAUGAAGGUCUUCGGAUCGUAAAGCUCUGUUAUUGGGGAAGAACAGAUGUGUAAGUAACUAUGGACGUCUUGACGGUACCUAAUCAGAAAGCCACGGCUAACUACGUG